rnacentral:misc_RNA from 1 species
UAUAUGAUGAAACCCACUAUGUUCUAUUCACAAACAAAACUUCAAAAUUAAUAACAAUAAAAUUUAUUACAACGAGACAGCUCCACAACUUCGCAAUCUCAUCAUACAUUACACUUAAAGUAUCUAGCCAGGUUCACAGCUGAUUCCAACCCGACCGACAACUGAAAUAUAUUCACUUGCAGUAUCAAGAACCAAGUACAUUGAUGUAACAACUUACAACUUUCCCCUAGGGGGAAACAGCUUAGACGUUGUUUUCAGCAAAAAUGUCUAGCAGCGCCAGCGCCUCAGGGACACUGAGUUCAAGACGGAACUUAGGGCCGUCGUAGUGGUGGAGGAUGGGUCGGAAGGAAUCCUCCUCUAAUGGUUCACAAAUAUUCCUAGUCACCACCCUCACCUGAGCUGGGAAGCGUGACUCGCCAGGGCAUUUCUUGUCCUCCCAUGCUAAUGGAUCGAUGUUCGUUCCUCCGAAACUUGCAGCCUCAAAAAUCCCAUGGAGCUGAUGAGUGGAGUAAUUGUAGAGAAAGAGGGGCAGCCCAGGUGUGAUUGCUCGGACCGAGUCCCUGUAUCUUGGUGGCAGACCAAAG